AAUUUUGGGUCCCGCCCAUGCACCGGAAGCCACACCCACGUUUUACUGCGCAUGACAGAGGACACACCCUAAUUACAAAGAACAAUCCCAGAACGGAGAAGAUAUCAACUCUACCAUUGCCUUAACUGACUCAUCUAUAAUUAUAGCUAUAUCAAUAUCUACUAUACAGACUACUGAAAGACCUCUCUGCUGAGCAGCUAGUGACAGGCAGAGUGCACAAUAAUUAUACUAUCACAAAGAAAAUCUGUAUUGAAACCAUUGUUUAAUUAUUGUUUUGUUUUUGUCUUCUGCCUGGUAUUUAGAGUGUGAUCAAGUUUCUGCUGGUGA